UACGAAGGGGGCUAGCGUUGCUCGGAAUUACUGGGCGUAAAGGGCGCGUAGGCGGAUAUCUAAGUUGGGGGUGAAAUCCCGGGGCUCAACCUCGGAAUUGCCUUCAAAACUGGAUAUCUUGAGUUCGGGGAGAGGUGAGUGGAACUCCGAGUGUAGAGGUGAAAUUCGUAGAUAUUCGGAAGAACACCAGUGGCGAAGGCGACUCACUGGCCCGAUACUGACGCUGAGGCGCGAAAGCGUGGGGAGCAAACAGGG
rnacentral:rRNA from 1 species